AGGAAGGACGUGCUAAUCUGCGAAAAGCGACGGCGAGGUGAUAUGAACCUUUGACCCGUCGAUGUCCGAAUGGGGAAACCCAGUGUGAUUCGUCACACUAUCGUUAACUGAAUACAUAGGUUAACGAGGCGAACCGGGGGAACUGAAACAUCUAAGUACCCCGAGGAAAAGAAAUCAACCGAGAUUCCCCCAGUAGCGGCGAGCGAACGGGGAGCAGCCCGGAGUCUGAAUCAGCUUGUGUGUUAGUGGAAGCGUCUGGAAAGUCGCACGGUACAGGGUGACAGUCCCGUACACGAAAAUGCACAGGUUGUGAACUCGAAGAGUAGGGCGGGACACGUGGUAUCCUGUCUGAAUAUGGGGGGACCAUCCUCCAAGGCUAAAUACUCCUGACUGACCGAUAGUGAACCAGUACCGUGAGGGAAAGGCGAAAAGAACCCCGGCGAGGGGAGUGAAAAAGAACCUGAAACCGUGUACGUACAAGCAGUGGGAGCACCUUCGGGUGUGACUGCGUACCUUUUGUAUAAUGGGUCAGCGACUUAUAUUCUGUAGCAAGGUUAACCGUAUAGGGGAGCCGAAGGGAAACCGAGUCUUAACUGGGCGUUAAGUUGCAGGGUAUAGACCCGAAACCCGGUGAUCUAGCCAUGGGCAGGUUGAAGGUUGGGUAACACUAACUGGAGGACCGAACCGACUAAUGUUGAAAAAUUAGCGGAUGACCUGUGGCUGGGGGUGAAAGGCCAAUCAAACCGGGAGAUAGCUGGUUCUCCCCGAAAGCUAUUUAGGUAGCGCCUCGUGAACUCAUCUUCGGGGGUAGAGCACUGUUUCGGCUAGGGGGCCAUCCCGGCUUACCAACCCGAUGCAAACUACGAAUACCGAAGAAUGUUAUCACGGGAGACACACGGCGGGUGCUAACGUCCGUCGUGAAGAGGGAAACAACCCAGACCGCCAGCUAAGGUCCCAAAGUCAUGGUUAAGUGGGAAACGAUGUGGGAAGGCACAGACAGCCAGGAUGUUGGCUUAGAAGCAGCCAUCAUUUAAAGAAAGCGUAAUAGCUCACUGGUCGAGUCGGCCUGCGCGGAAGAUGUAACGGGGCUAAACCAUGCACCGAAGCUGCGGCAGCGACACUAUGUGUUGUUGGGUAGGGGAGCGUUCUGUAAGCCGUUGAAGGUGUGCUGUGAGGCAUGCUGGAGGUAUCAGAAGUGCGAAUGCUGACAUAAGUAACGAUAAAGCGGGUGAAAAGCCCGCUCGCCGGAAGACCAAGGGUUCCUGUCCAACGUUAAUCGGGGCAGGGUGAGUCGACCCCUAAGGCGAGGCCGAAAGGCGUAGUCGAUGGGAAACAGGUUAAUAUUCCUGUACUUGGUGUUACUGCGAAGGGGGGACGGAGAAGGCUAUGUCAGCCGGGCGACGGUUGUCCCGGUUUAAGCGUGUAGGUGUGUGUUCCAGGCAAAUCCGGUUCACUUUAACACUGAGGCGUGAUGACGAGGCACUACGGUGCUGAAGUGAUAAAUGCCCUGCUUCCAGGAAAAGCCUCUAAGCAUCAGGUAACACGAAAUCGUACCCCAAACCGACACAGGUGGUCAGGUAGAGAAUACCAAGGCGCUUGAGAGAACUCGGGUGAAGGAACUAGGCAAAAUGGUGCCGUAACUUCGGGAGAAGGCACGCUGAUAGGUAGGUGAAGCCCCUGCGGGUGGAGCUGAAAUCAGUCGAAGAUACCAGCUGGCUGCAACUGUUUAUUAAAAACACAGCACUGUGCAAACACGAAAGUGGACGUAUACGGUGUGACGCCUGCCCGGUGCCGGAAGGUUAAUUGAUGGGGUUAGCGGCAACGCGAAGCUCUUGAUCGAAGCCCCGGUAAACGGCGGCCGUAACUAUAACGGUCCUAAGGUAGCGAAAUUCCUUGUCGGGUAAGUUCCGACCUGCACGAAUGGCGUAAUGAUGGCCAGGCUGUCUCCACCCGAGACUCAGUGAAAUUGAACUCGCUGUGAAGAUGCAGUGUACCCGCGGCAAGACGGAAAGACCCCGUGAACCUUUACUAUAGCUUGACACUGAACACUGGUCCUUGAUGUGUAGGAUAGGUGGGAGGCUUUGAAGCGUGGACGCCAGUCUGCGUGGAGCCGUCCUUGAAAUACCACCCUUUAAUGGCUGGUGUUCUAACGUGGACCCGUAAUCCGGGUUGCGGACAGUGUCUGGUGGGUAGUUUGACUGGGGCGGUCUCCUCCCAAAGAGUAACGGAGGAGCACGAAGGUUAGCUAAUCCUGGUCGGACAUCAGGAGGUUAGUGCAAUGGCAUAAGCUAGCUUGACUGCGAGAGUGACGGCUCGAGCAGGUGCGAAAGCAGGUCAUAGUGAUCCGGUGGUUCUGAAUGGAAGGGCCAUCGCUCAACGGAUAAAAGGUACUCCGGGGAUAACAGGCUGAUACCGCCCAAGAGUUCAUAUCGACGGCGGUGUUUGGCACCUCGAUGUCGGCUCAUCACAUCCUGGGGCUGAAGUAGGUCCCAAGGGUAUGGCUGUUCGCCAUUUAAAGUGGUACGCGAGCUGGGUUUAGAACGUCGUGAGACAGUUCGGUCCCUAUCUGCCGUGGGCGCUGGAGAAUUGAGGGGGGCUGCUCCUAGUACGAGAGGACCGGAGUGGACGCAUCACUGGUGUUCGGGUUGUCAUGCCAAUGGCACUGCCCGGUAGCUAAAUGCGGAAGAGAUAAGUGCUGAAAGCAUCUAAGCACGAAACUUGCCCCGAGAUGAGUUCUCCCUGAGACUUUAAGUCUCCUGAAGGAACGUUGAAGACGACGACGUUGAUAGGCCGGGUGUGUAAGCGCAGCGAUGCGUUGAGCUAACCGGUACUAAUGAACCGUGAGGCUUAACCUUACAACGCCGAAGCUGUU
rnacentral:rRNA from 1 species